rnacentral:rRNA from 1 species
AUCAACUUUCGAUGGUAGGUAGAGGCCUACCAUGGUGGUAACGGGUAACGGGGUGUUAGGGCACGACACCGGAGAGGGAGCCUGAGAAACGGCUACCACAUCCAAGGAAGGCAGCAGGUGCGCAAAUUACCCAAUCCCGACACGGGGAGGUAGUGACAAUAAAUAACAAUACAGGGUUCUUUUGGAUCUUGUAAUUGGAAUGAGUACAAUUUAAAUCUCUUAACGAGGAACAAUUGGAGGGCAAGUCUGGUGCCAGCAGCCGCGGUAAUUCCAGCUCCAAUAGCGUAUAUUAAAGUUGUUGCAGUUAAAAAGCUCGUAGUUGAACUUCGGGAUCAAUGGAUUGGUCAUGCCGAUGGUAUGAACUGGUCAUAUUGGUUCUCACCUUCUAAGGAACCAUGAUGUCAUUUAUUUGAUGUUGUGGGGAAUUAGGACUGUUACCUUGAAAAAAUUAGAGUGUUUAAAGCAGGCUAACGCUUGAAUACAUUAGCAUGGAAUAAUGAAAUAGGACAUCGCAUUCUAUUUUGUUGGUUUCCAGGAUCGAUGUAAUGAUUAAUAGGGAUAGUUGGGGGCAUUAGUAUUCAAUUGUCAGAGGUGAAAUUCUUGGAUUUAUUGAAGACUAACUACUGCGAAAGCAUUUGCCAGGAUGUUUUCAUUAAUCAAGAACGAAAGUUAGGGGAUCGAAGACGAUCAGAUACCGUCGUAGUCUUAACCAUAAACUAUGCCGACUAGGGAUCGGAUGAUGUUAAUUUUUUAAUGACUCUUUCG